rnacentral:rRNA from 1 species
CCGGCACGGGUGAGUAACACGUAUGCAAUCCACUUGUAACAGGGGGAUAACCCGGAGAAAUCCGGACUAAUACCCCAUAAUAUGGGCGCUCCGCAUGGAGAGCCCAUUAAAGAGAGCAAUUUUGGUUACAGACGAGCAUGCGCUCCAUUAGCCAGUUGGCGGGGUAACGGCCCACCAAGGCGACGAUGGAUAGGGGUUCUGAGAGGAAGGUCCCCCACAUUGGAACUGAGACACGGUCCAA